rnacentral:rRNA from 1 species
CGAAGUGCGCAGCUAUACAUGCAAGUCGAGCGGACAGAAGGGAGCUUGCUCCCGGAUGUUAGCGGCGGACGGGUGAGUAACACGUGGGUAACCUGCCUGUAAGACUGGGAUAACUCCGGGAAACCGGAGCUAAUACCGGAUAGUUCCUUGAACCGCAUGGUUCAAGGAUGAAAGACGGUUUCGGCUGUCACUUACAGAUGGACCCGCGGCGCAUUAGCUAGUUGGUGAGGUAACGGCUCACCAAGGCGACGAUGCGUAGCCGACCUGAGAGGGUGAUCGGCCACACUGGGACUGAGACACGGCCCAGACUCCUACGGGAGGCAGCAGUAGGGAAUCUUCCGCAAUGGACGAAAGUCUGACGGAGCAACGCCGCGUGAGUGAUGAAGGUUUUCGGAUCGUAAAGCUCUGUUGUUAGGGAAGAACAAGUGCAAGAGUAACUGCUUGCACCUUGACGGUACCUAACCAGAAAGCCACGGCUAACUACGUGCCAGCAGCCGCGGUAAUACGUAGGUGGCAAGCGUUGUCCGGAAUUAUUGGGCGUAAAGGGCUCGCAGGCGGUUUCUUAAGUCUGAUGUGAAAGCCCCCGGCUCAACCGGGGAGGGUCAUUGGAAACUGGGAAACUUGAGUGCAGAAGAGGAGAGUGGAAUUCCACGUGUAGCGGUGAAAUGCGUAGAGAUGUGGAGGAACACCAGUGGCGAAGGCGACUCUCUGGUCUGUAACUGACGCUGAGGAGCGAAAGCGUGGGGAGCGAACAGGAUUAGAUACCCUGGGUAGUCCACGCCGUAAACGAUGAGUGCUAAGUGUUAGGGGGUUUCCGCCCCUUAGUGCUGCAGCUAACGCAUUAAGCACUCCGCCUGGGGAGUACGGUCGCAAGACUGAAACUCAAAGGAAUUGACGGGGGCCCGCACAAGCGGUGGAGCAUGUGUUUAAUUCGAAGCAACGCGAGAACCUUACCAGUCUGACAUCCUCUGACACCCCUAGAGAUAGGGCUUUCCCUUCGGGGACAGAGUGACAGUGGUGCAUGGGUGUCGUCAGCUCGUGUCGUGAGAUGGUGGGUAGUCCCGCACGAGCGCCAACCCUUUGAUCUUAGUUGCCAGCAUUUCAGUUUGGGGCACCUCCUAAGAU